rnacentral:lncRNA from 1 species
CCGCCCCUCGCACUCUGCGGUCACGUGACCCAAAGUGUUGAGGUGUUGAUUGGACAAAAAGUCUGCCCUGUAACGGUACUUCUUGCUCAGUGACAGCAGCAACCCACCUCCUUAUCCCUUUCAUUGGCUUAUAAACCCGUCCUUUAAACCACUAUUUGGGAGGUCGGGCCAUCAGUUUCGGCGUUUUUUCCAGAGAGGCAGGCUCACAGCGAUAUCGCGAGAGACGAGUUUCACUCUCGUUGCCCAGGCUGGAGUGCAAUGGCAUGAUCUUGGCUCACUGCAACAUCUGCCUCCUGGGUUCCAGUGAUUCCCCUGCCUCAGCCUCCUGAGCACCAACAGGGAAUUGCUCUGUCACGCAAGCUGGAGUGCAGUGGUGCCAUCUCGGCUCACUGUGACCUCUGCCUCCUGGGCUCAAGCCAUCCUCCCACCUCAGCCCUUCAAGUAGCUGGGAUUACAGGUACACGCCACCAUGCCCAUCUAAUUUUUGUAUAUUUUGUAGAGACAGGGUUUCUCCAUGUUGCACAGGCUGACUAAAAC